rnacentral:rRNA from 1 species
AUGAACGCUGGCGGCGUGCCUAAUCCCUGCCAGUCGAGCGAACAGACGAGGAGCUUGCUCCUCUGACGUUAGCGGCGGACGGGUGAGUAACACGUGGAUAACCUACCUAUAAGACUGGGAUAACUUCGGGAAACCGGAGCUAAUACCGGAUAAUAUAUUGAACCGCAUGGUUCAAUAGUGAAAGACGGUUUUGCUGUCACUUAUAGAUGGAUCCGCGCCGCAUUAGCUAGUUGGUAAGGUAACGGCUUACCAAGGCAACGAUGCGUAGCCGACCUGAGAGGGUGAUCGGCCACACUGGAACUGAGACACGGUCCAGACUCCUACGGGAGGCAGCAGUAGGGAAUCUGCCGCAAUGGGCGAAAGCCUGACGGAGCAACGCCGCGUGAGUGAUGAAGGUCUUCGGAUCGUAAAACUCUGUUAUUAGGGAAGAACAAAUGUGUAAGUAACUAUGCACGUCUUGACGGUACCUAAUCAGAAAGCCACGGCUAACUACGUG